rnacentral:rRNA from 1 species
UCCGGAAUAGAUGGAAUCAAGGGCCGCUUAGACAAAAAAGGAAGAGGAGGCUAUAACUAGCCUCCUCCGAGAGACCUGAAAAAAGCAAAGCAGGGAAAGCGGGGGAGGGGUUGACAGGGAUGAUCGGGAAGUGUAGGAUCAAACGGUUGACUCUUUCGGGGAGAAAAAAAGCCCUGAAAAGAAAGACGCCCUGUGGAAACGCAGGGAGAGCGUCUCGGAUCAUUGACAACUAAAUAGGAGCAGCAACGUCCAAUUAAAGGGCCCUGAUCACGAAACACAGGAACAAAAUGAAUCUGGAGAGUUUGAUCCUGGCUCAGAACGAACGCUGGCGGCGUGCCUAACACAUGCAAGUCCAACGUGAAAGGGGAGCAAUCCCCCGGUAGGGUGGCAAACGGGUGAG